rnacentral:lncRNA from 1 species
CAUAUUUUCUUUUAUGGGGGGGCGGGAACCUAUUUUUCUGAUUAUAAAAUGUCACCUUUGAAAUUCAAACAUAUAAGAAGUAUAAAUAAGGUGAAGAUCAGCCAUAAUUUUAACACUUAUUGGUGCUUAAUCUCCACUGUUUGAGUGUAAUGUGCACCAGUGUGUAUGUAUGUACAUGCAUACAUAUAUAUAUAUAGUAUUUGGUAUUUUCAUGCCAUGCUGGUGUGAACUUAUAUAACCAUUGGAGGAGAAAUUUGGAAAUGUGUAUUGGGAGCUACAAAAAUAAUCCUACUUUUUUUUUCAACAAAAAGUUUUAAGUACCUACUAUGUACCAGGUAUUCCUCGGGGCUUGUGGGAUAUACCUCAGAACAAAACGGGAAGAAAUCACUGGCUGCAUGGAGCUUAUAAUGAGAGAGAAAAAAUAAACAACUAAUAUAAUAAAUAACACACAUAUUGAAUGCUUGAAAAAGAUGAAUGCUACGAAAGAGGAAAGUAGCAGAGCAGGGUCAUAAUGGCUGCUGACAUUCAAUCUUUCCAUGAGGAGUCCCUUGCAGUCCCAGCACAUCUUCCUGGUGUUUUCUCAUCUGUUCUUGGUGAGAUGGUGGGGAAGGUGGGUGGAGAACCAGACAAUGUCUUCUCUUCACCUCCCUUCUGAGAUCCAAGCGUCACUUAGUGAUCACUGACAGCCAUGAGUUUUGUGCUUACUGGUUUGCAUUCUCUGAAACCCAAUCAUUCCUAUGAAUCACACAUACUGGUUUUGUACAGAAUAAAAUAAAAAACAUUUCCUC